rnacentral:rRNA from 1 species
AAGCGAGCCUGCGAGGGGGAGCGAAUCCCAAAAAUAACGUCCCAGUUCGGAUUGUAGUCUGCAACCCGACUACAUGAAGCUGGAAUCGCUAGUAAUCGCGGAUCAGAAUGCCGCGGUGAAUACAUUCCCGGGUCUUGUACACACCGCCCGUCACACCAUGGGAGUCGGAAAUGCCCGAAGUCAGUGACCCAACCGCAAGGAGGGAGCUGCCGAAGGUGGAGCUGGUAACUGGGGUGAAGUCGUAACAAGGUAGC